GAGUCAGAGGGGAGUCAGAGGUACCAGUAGUAACAGCCUGAUGGGAGUCAGAGGGGAGUCAGAGGUACCAGUAGUAACAGCCUGAUGGGAGUCAGAGGGGAGUCAGAGGUACCAGUAGUAACAGCCUGAUGGGAGUCAGAGGGGAGUCAGAGGUACCAGUAGUAACAGCCUGAUGGGAGUCAGAGGGGAGUCAGAGGUACCAGUAGUAACAGCCUGAUGGGAGUCAGAGGGGAGUCAGAGGUACCAGUAGUAACAGCCUGAUGGGAGUCAGAGGGGAGUCAGAGGGGAGUCAGAGGUACCAGUAGUAACAGCCUGAUGGGAGUCAGAGGGGAGUCAGAGGUACCAGUAGUAACAGCCUGAUGGGAGUCAGAGGGGAGUCAGAGGUACCAGUAGUAACAGCCUGAUGGGAGUCAGAGGGGAGUCAGAGGUACCAGUAGUAACAGCCUGAUGGGAGUCAGAGGGGAGUCAGAGGUACCAGUAGUAACAGCCUGAUGGGAGUCAGAGGGGAGUCAGAGGUACCAGUAGUAACAGCCUGAUGGGAGUCAGAGGGGAGUCAGAGGUACCAGUAGUAACAGCCUGAUGGGAGUCAGAGGGGAGUCAGAGGUACCAGUAGUAACAGCCUGAUGGGAGUCAGAGGGGAGUCAGAGGUACCAGUAGUAACAGCCUGAUGGGAGUCAGAGGGGAGUCAGAGGUACCAGUAGUAACAGCCUGAUGGGAGUCAGAGGGGAGUCAGAGGUACCAGUAGUAACAGCCUGAUGGGAGUCAGUAGUACCAGCGGAAUCCACAAGAGCAUCAUCACUCCCACUCGAGGGAGAUGAAAAAAAACACAACACUUUUGAUUGCAUUCCAAAUUGCACCCUAAUUCCCUCGGUAGUGCUCUACUUCCUGAGCAGCGCCUAUAGGUUGUGGUGUAACGUAGUGAACGAUAGAGAACAGGGAGCCAUGUGGGAAGCCGACGGACUUUAUUUACGGAGCACCAGUUCAUUUCCACUUGGCCCUUU